UUUAUUGGAGAGUUUGAUCCUGGCUCAGGAUGAACGCUGGCGGCGUGCCUAAUACAUGCAAGUCGAGCGAAUGGAUUGAGAGCUUGCUCUCAAGAAGUUAGCGGCGGACGGGUGAGUAACACGUGGGUAACCUGCCCAUAAGACUGGGAUAACUCCGGGAAACCGGGGCUAAUACCGGAUAACAUUUUGAACUGCAUGGUUCGAAAUUGAAAGGCGGCUUCGGCUGUCACUUAUGGAUGGACCCGCGUCGCAUUAGCUAGUUGGUGAGGUAACGGCUCACCAAGGCAACGAUGCGUAGCCGACCUGAGAGGGUGAUCGGCCACACUGGGACUGAGACACGGCCCAGACUCCUACGGGAGGCAGCAGUAGGGAAUCUUC
rnacentral:rRNA from 1 species